rnacentral:rRNA from 1 species
GUGGCUAAUACCGCAUAACGUCGCAAGACCAAAGAGGGGGACCUUCGGGCCUCUUGCCAUCAGAUGUGCCCAGAUGGGAUUAGCUUGUUGGUGAGGUAACGGCUCACCAAGGCGACGAUCCCUAGCUGGUCUGAGAGGAUGACCAGCCACACUGGAACUGAGACACGGUCCAGACUCCUACGGGAGGCAGCAGUGGGGAAUAUUGCACAAUGGGCGCAAGCCUGAUGCAGCCAUGCCGCGUGUAUGAAGAAGGCCUUCGGGUUGUAAAGUACUUUCAGCGGGGAGGAAGGUGUUGUGGUUAAUAACCGCAGCAAUUGACGUUACCCGCAGAAGAAGCACCGGCUAACUCCGUGCCAGCAGCCGCGGUAAUACGGAGGGUGCAAGCGUUAAUCGGAAUUACUGGGCGUAAAGCGCACGCAGGCGGUCUGUCAAGUCGGAUGUGAAAUCCCCGGGCUCAACCUGGGAACUGCAUUCGAAACUGGCAGGCUUGAGUCUUGUAGAGGGGGGUAGAAUUCCAGGUGUAGCGGUGAAAUGCGUAGAGAUCUGGAGGAAUACCGGUGGCGAAGGCGGCCCCCUGGACAAAGACUGACGCUCAGGUGCGAAAGCGUGGGGAGCAAACAGGAUUAGAUACCCUGGUAGUCCACGCCGUAAACGAUGUCUACUUGGAGGUUGUGCCCUUGAGGCGUGGCUUCCGGAGCUAACGCGUUAAGUAGACCGCCUGGGGAGUACGGCCGCAAGGUUAAAACUCAAAUGAAUUGACGGGGGCCCGCACAAGCGGUGGAGCAUGUGGUUUAAUUCGAUGCAACGCGAAGAACCUUACCUGGUCUUGACAUCCACAGAACUUUCCAGAGAUGGAUUGGUGCCUUCGGGAACUGUGAGACAGGUGCUGCAUGGCUGUCGUCAGCUCGUGUUGUGAAAUGUUGGGUUAAGUCCCGCAACGAGCGCAAC